rnacentral:misc_RNA from 1 species
UUGGCAUCUGAUAUUCCCAGUCAGAAACAUAUAAACCGUAGAACAAAGAAAGGUAUAAAGCAGUAACCAUUAUAGCCAUGGCCCAUUGUUGAUGGUAUCUCUUCAACAAAGAUUGUCCUGAAUUGACUUUAUUAUCACCCUUGAGCCAGAUUUCACACAUUGCUGCCAACAAAAAUGAUAUUGCAAUUCUCUGCAAUAUACCCAUCCAUCUGAUUCUCUCAACGUCCACUCCAUAAGUUAGAUUUUUGAUACCAUGAAAAUAGCCUCCUUGAAGAAAGAGUCCAAGGAUGAGUAGCUUAAGCGCGCGGUGAAUUGCUUUUCCAGUUGCAGUCAGUCUGCAGGGUAUGUUCUUGUACCCAAGUGCAAGCGACACUCCAACAAUGAAGAGGAAAAAUGGCAUGACAAAAUCUGCCAGGGUUAUACCAUCCCAUGGUGAAUGAUUGAUAGCAGGAUAAAUUCCACCAGCGUAUUCCACAAAUAUCAUUAACGCAACAGUGAUACCGCGAAAAAUGUCAAGAGAAAGAAGACGACCACUCCCUCCUCCAGUCUUAGACCUAUGAGAAUGAGGUCCACCAUGAUCACCAAUGGAUUUAGGCAAUGUAGACAAAGGAGAUAUGGGUGAUUUCUCUAAAUUACUUGUUGCAUCACUAGUAAUAACCUCAAUCCUAGGAGAUAAAUUCUUCCCUUCUCCUUCAACUAUAAUAUCCCCUAGUUGUAAUUGUUGUGGAUCCCAUCUUAAUCUUGCAUCUUUCUUCUCUCUAAUUAGUUGAUAAGAUCCCAUUUUUUUCUCUCUACUAAUUUUGAUUUACACCAUUCAACCACCAAAAUCAACAAUUUUCAAGCAACACCCUUUUCACUAAAACUUGUAGAUUCAAUCUUUUAAUGCUCCAG